CCUCCGCCAGCUUCACCCUCCAUGGCUCAUGUUGGCCCCAAUCUCUCUCAUCUUACCUUAUUCUCUCUCCUUCAGCUCCGCCGUCUGCAUCCCAUCUUCGUUCAUCGGAGCCAAUUCCCUCCUCAUCCUUCUCUCACACAAACCUCCUCCUUGGCACAACCAAAUUUCUUCUCUGUCGAUGACCGCAGCUAUACGGGACUCAUCGAUCCACUGUUUUCGACUAGCCGGCGACGAACGCCAUGGAUUCCGUUCGCAGCUGGCGAGAAGUGUGAAAAUGGCGGGGGAGAUUUGGAUAACACGGUGAUGACGUAGAAGCAAGCCAACGACGACGACGUGGCAACGGCCAUGACCGUAGGGAGUCAGCAACGAGGAUGCGACGGUGAUGGUGAUGUCGUUGCUAUUCAUAUCCAUAUCUGCUACAAUUGAAUUCAGGCGACGUUCUGCAUGGGCUUAAGAUACAAUCUUCUUUUAUCAAUUUAUUAAUGCUUUGAACAUUGCGGCAUGGGCUAGCAAAGAGAAGGAGGACAAAGAUGCUCCACUUUACUUAAAACGAAAGCAGCUGAACAGCACCAAAAAGUGUCAUUGAAACACGUGCAGCAACAUGGGAGGAUGCAGAGAAGGCCAAGUAUAUGGCCAGGAAUGUGAUGAUGAUCUUGUGACCAUAGCCCUCCCUCGCCUUCAAGUUUCAACAGUGUUUUACCCGCAAAAAAAAAAAAAGUUUCAACAGUUGAUGCAAAAAGGGGAAAGCAUAUGGCAUUGUUUUUGAGUUUCGCUACGAGCUAUGAACCUUACAAUUUGAUGUUUGUUUUUAUCUUCUACCAUUUAAAAAUUAGUGUAUUUGGAGUUUCAAUAGAGGAAAAAUUUUAUGUUUAUAUGCAUACUCUUUUUGUGUAUAGUUAUAAAAUUUAUUGUAUUCUGAAUGUUAUUAAAAUUACGUAAUUGUCAGAAUUUAUGUAAUUUAUUAUUUAGGAAAAAUGUAAC